rnacentral:tRNA from 1 species
GCUCAGUUGGUUAAGCAUCUGACUCUUGAUUUCAGUUCAGGUCAUGAUCAUACAGUUUGUGGGUUCACGCCCCACAUUGGGCU